UGCACCUAAGGGAGGAGCCCGGGGGGCAACUGGUGUGUGAGGCCCAGAGGUUUUACCCCCCGGAGCUGAACAUUUCCUGGAACUUCUCAGCAGGGGCAAAUCCAGCCCAAGAGACCCGGAAUGAGACCCUGAAGGAGAACCCGGAUGGAACCUACACCAAGACUUCCAUUGUGACUAUUACUGAGGGGCUGUGGGGCACCGAGGUGAUCUGCCAAGUGCAUCACAUGACUCUCCCCAGGCCCCUCCCACUGCGCCUGUAUCUCCCCAGCCCCAGGGUGCAGCUGUACCAUUGGUUGUUCCCAGUUCGGGUGAUUCUGGCUGCCGCUCUGAUCAUCGGCUUCUGUGUCGCUCACUUUGCCUGUAGAUAGAGGUCUCUGUCCCUCUGUGUUUCCUGCCCCGUCUGAUGCCCCCGGGGUCCCUCUGCUUAGCAAGAUACCUGCACUUACCCCUGCACCCCAACAGCUCCUCACAGGGUGGGCAUCUCUGUACCCAGUACUUACCCCCUGCACCCUGACAGCUCCUCACAGGGUGGGCAUCUCUGUACCCAGUACUUACCCCCUGCACCCUGACAGCUCCUCACAGGGUGGGCAUCUCUGUACCCAGUACUUACCCCCUGCACCCUGACAGCUCCUCACAGGGUGGGCAUCUCUGUGCCCAGUACUUACCCCCUGCACCCUGACAGCUCCUCACAGGGUGGGCAUCUCUGUGCCCAGUACUUACCCCCUGCACCCUGACAGCUCCUCACAGGGUGGGCAUCUCUGUACCCAGUACUUACCCCCUGCACCCUGACAGCUCCUCACAGGGUGGGCAUCUCUGUACCCAGUACUUACCCCCUGCACCCUGACAGCUCCUCACAGGGUGGGCAUCUCUGUACCCAGUACUUACCCCCUGCACCCUGACAGCUCCUCACAGGGUGGGCAUCUCUGUACCCAGUACUUACCCCCUGCACCCUGACAGCUCCUCACAGGGUGGGCAUCUCU